AUUAGGCAUGCCUUACUACAAAGUCUCUUAUUUAAUCUAAAUGUAGGGACAUAAUAGAUUUUUAUCCUUCUAAAACUCAUCUUUUAGCUAUGGUGACUUUGACUUCCUGCCAAAAUCCUGUUACCCUAGCAACAGCAAAUGAAGAAACACCCCUGCCGCCAGUGUGACAAGUCUUUCAGCUCGUCCCACAGCCUGUGCCGGCACAACCGGAUCAAGCACAAAGGCAUCAGGAAAGUGUACGCCUGCUCGUAAGUCCUGGUUUCUAACGGAACGCAGUGAGAGGACUCAGGAGGAACCUCUGGAAGGUUUUUAGUGUAGUACCAUUAUCUUGCUGUGCUCCACAGUUCCUACAUUACAUUUCUUAAUUGUAUUAUUGUUUUGGCCUAGAGUUUUUGGAUUGGGUUGUCACACUUAAAUAUGAAAAUAAAACGGAGCAUUUUCUUGCAUAUCCCACAUACAUUGUGUGGUUUUUCUUUUUCCCCUGAGACGGAGUCUCACUCUGUUGCCCAGGCUGGAGUGCAGUGAUGCAAUUUUGACUCACUGCAACCUCUGCCUCCCAGGUUCAAGUG
rnacentral:sRNA from 1 species